CUUGCCUACGGGGCGCAGCAGUGGGGAAUAUUGCACAAUGGGGGAAACCCUGAUGCAGCGACGCCGCGUGAGUGAAGAAGUAUUUCGGUAUGUAAAGCUCUCUCAGCAGGAACGAGACAAGACGGUACCUGACUAAGAAGCCCCGGCUAACUACGUGCCAGCAGCCGCGGUAAUACGUAGGGGGCAAGCGUUAUCCGGAAUCACUGGGUGUAAAGGGAGCGUAGACGGCUGUGCAAGCCUGAAGUGAAAGGCGGGGGCCCAACCCCUGGACUGCUUUGGGAACUGUACGGCUGGAGGGCAGAGUG
rnacentral:rRNA from 1 species